rnacentral:miRNA from 1 species
GAUGGUACAGCCGCAUGGCAUAGGUACCGGUUAAAUUUGUUAUAGUAGCUAUAACAAAUUUAACCGGUACCUAUGCCAAGCGGCUGUACCAUCUACUAUAA